GCGGAAGUGGCGAAAUUGGCAGACGCACCAUCUUGAGGGGGUGGCGCCUUCACUGGCGUACGGGUUCAAGUCCCGUCUUCCGCAC
rnacentral:tRNA from 1 species